rnacentral:rRNA from 1 species
AGUGACGGUACUAUAGGAAUAAGCCACGGCUAACUACGUGCCAGCAGCCGCGGUAAUACGUAGGUGGCGAGCGUUAUCCGGAUUUUACUGGGUGUAAAGGGCGUGUAGGCGGGAGAGCAAGUCAGAUGUGAAAACUACAGGCUUAACCUGUAGCCUGCAUUUGAAACUGUUCUUCUUGAGUGAUGGAGAGGCAGGCGGAAUUCCUAGUGUAGCGGUGAAAUGCGUAGAUAUUAGGAGGAACACCAGUGGCGAAGGCGGCCUGCUGGACAUUAACUGACGCUGAGGCGCGAAAGCGUGGGGAGCAAACAGGAUUAGAUACCCUGGUAGUCCACGCCGUAAACGAUGGAUACUAGGUGUGGGGGGUCUGACCCCCUCCGUGCCGCAGUAAACACAAUAAGUAUCCCACCUGGGGAGUACGAUCGCAAGGUUG